rnacentral:rRNA from 1 species
GACAGAGGGGGCAAGCGUUGCUCGGAAUCACUGGGCGUAAAGGGCGCGUAGGCGGGCUGGCAAGUCGAUUGUGAAAUCUCCGGGCUUAACCCGGAAAGGUCAACCGAUACUGCGGGGCUAGAGUGCAGAAGGGGCAACUGGAAUUCUCGGUGUAGCGGUGAAAUGCGUAGAUAUCGAGAGGAACACCUGCGGCGAAGGCGGGUUGCUGGGCUGACACUGACGCUGAAGUGCGAAAGCUAGGGGAGCGAACGGG